GCCGAGGUAGCAAAGCCCGGAUUACCGCGCCAGCCUUGAGAGCUGGUGUCCGCAAGGACUCGGGAGUUCGAAUCUCCCCCUCGGCGCCA
rnacentral:tRNA from 1 species